rnacentral:rRNA from 1 species
UGCAGUCGAACGGUAACAGGAAGCGCUUGCUGCUUCGCUGACGAGUGGCGGACGGGUGAGUAAUGUCUGGGAAACUGCCUGAUGGAGGGGGAUAACUACUGGAAACGGUAGCUAAUACCGCAUAACGUCGCAAGACCAAAGAGGGGGACCUUCGGGCCUCUUGCCAUCGGAUGUGCCCAGAUGGGAUUAGCUUGUUGGUGGGGUAACGGCUCACCWAGGCGACGAUCCCUAGCUGGUCUGAGAGGAUGACCAGCCACACUGGAACUGAGACACGGUCCAGACUCCUACGGGAGGCAGCAGUGGGGAAUAUUGCACAAUGGGCGCAAGCCUGAUGCAGCCAUGCCGCGUGUAUGAAGAAGGCCUUCGGGUUGUAAAGUACUUUCAGCGGGGAGGAAGGGAGUAAAGUUAAUACCUUUGCUCAUUGACGUUACCCGCAGAAGAAGCACCGGCUAACUCCGUGCCAGCAGCCGCGGUAAUACGGAGGGUGCAAGCGUUAAUCGGAAUUACUGGGCGUAAAGCGCACGCAGGCGGUUUGUUAAGUCAGAUGUGAAAUCCCCGGGCUCAACCUGGGAACUGCAUCUGAUACUGGCAAGCUUGAGUCUCGUAGAGGGGGGUAGAAUUCCAGGUGUAGCGGUGAAAUGCGUAGAGAUCUGGAGGAAU